AAGAAGAGUGCUAGGCAGAGGGUAAAGGUCACGUAAAGCCCUAAGACAGGUGAGUGUUCUCCAUCCAAGCACUGGAAAGAAGACGAAUGUUGUCAGGGUGUGAAGGAGGGAAGAAUGGCACCAGAUGAAGGUGAAGAGGAAGGAAGGAGCCAGAUCACACAGGCCCUUGUAAGCAAACUUCCUUUUUCUUCAUCCAAGAAAUUCUUUUAAAAUGUGACCAUUAGUUAUCCUGCCCUUUUAGGCCAAAUUUUUUCAGUUCUUCUAGAGAGUGGAUUAUACCAUGCUUUCCGUCUGGAAAAUCUCCUGAUAGCAAAAACUUAUUAUAAUAUUCCCCCUUGAAAGUAUUCGGGAAAUCCAGGAAAGCUAUGAAAGACAAGAAACUAGUCUUAAAAAAUGGUUCUGUUUUUUACAAAAUUCAACUGAUAAAUAAGUAUAUGUGACCUGUUUUUAGGUAACGCACUGUAUUAUAAAAUUGCCAUUUUUAUGGGUCCAAAUAGAAUGGCAGCUACUUUAAGUGGCUCAACCUGGUAACUUAUCAGACAUUUGGAUUUAUAUACACUGUUCAAAUAACAACAUGUCAAAUAUAACUGUAAAAUAAAUUUACAAUUUUUAAUUUCAACCGCUGAGCAGAAAAAAAAAGAA
rnacentral:sRNA from 1 species